CAAUAGCGUAUAUUAAAGUUGUUGCAGUUAGAACGCUCGUAGUCGGAUUUCGGGGCGGGCCGACCGGUCUGCCGAUGGGUACGCACUGGUCGGCGCGUCCUUCCUUCCGGAGACCGUGCCUACUCUUAACUGAGCGGGGGCGGGAGACGGAACGUUUCCUUUGAAAAAAUCAGAGUGUUUCAAGCAGGCAGUGCGCUCUUGCAUGGAUUAGCAUGGGAUAAUGAAAUAGGACUUUGGUGCUAUUUUGUUGGUUUCGAACACCGAAGUAAUGAUUAAAAGGGACAGUCAGGGGCACUCGUAUUCCGCCGAGAGAGGUGAAAUUCUCAGACCAGCGGAAGACGAACCACUGCGAAAGCAUUUGCCAGGGAUGUUUUCACUGA
rnacentral:rRNA from 1 species